rnacentral:rRNA from 1 species
AUUGAACGCUGGCGGCAGGCCUAACACAUGCAAGUCGAACGAGUGGCGGACGGGUGAGUAAUAUCUGGGAAACUGCCCGAUGGAGGGGGAUAACUACUGGAAACGGUAGCUAAUACCGCAUACCCUCAGAUGUGCCCAGAUGGGAUUAGCUAGUUGGUGGGGUAACGGCUCACCAAGGCGACGAUCCCUAGCUGGUCUGAGAGGAUGACCAGCCACACUGGAACUGAGACACGUGCCAGACUCCGACGGGAGGCAGCAGUGGGGAAUAUUGCACAAUGGGCGCAAGCCUGAUGCAGCCAUGCCGCGUGUAUGAAGAAGGCCUUCGGGUUGUAAAGUACUUUCAGCGGGGAGGCGUUACCCGCAGAAGAAGCACCGGCUAACUCCGUGCCAGCAGCCGCGGUAAUAC